GAUGAACGCUAGCGGCAGGCCUAACACAUGCAAGUCGAGGGGUAGAGUUCUUCGGGACUUGAGACCGGCGCACGGGUGCGUAACGCGUAUGCAAUCUACCGUAUACAGGGGAAUAGCCCAGAGAAAUUUGGAUUAAUGCCCCAUAGUGUUAUCGAAUCGCAUGGUUUGAUAACUAAAGUUCCAACGGUAUAAGAUGAGCAUGCGUCCCAUUAGUUAGUUGGUAAGGUAACGGCUUACCAAGACAAUGAUGGGUAGGGGUCCUGAGAGGGAGAUCCCCCACACUGGUACUGAGACACGGACCAGACUCCUACGGGAGGCAGCAGUGAGGAAUAUUGGUCAAUGGGGCGCAAGCCUGAACCAGCCAUGCCGCGUGCAGGAAGAAGGCCCUCGGGUUGUAAACUGCUUUUGACGGAACGAAAAGGUUUCUAUUAAUACUAGGAGCUCAUGACGGUACCGUAAGAAUAAGCACCGGCUAACUACGUGCCAGCAGCCGCGGUAAAGUGACU
rnacentral:rRNA from 1 species